GUCGCUACUACCGAUUGAAUGGCUUAGUGAGUUGUCCGGAUUACAGCCAGGCGUUGGUUCGCCACUGCUUGGUUCGUGAGAAGGACUGCAAACUUGGUCAUUUAGAGGAAGUAA
rnacentral:rRNA from 1 species